rnacentral:piRNA from 1 species
UCCCACUUGUGUUCCAAGUGAGCUCUCAGC